rnacentral:lncRNA from 1 species
UUUAGUCCCUCUCUCCUAAACUUUGUUUAAAGUUCACCACUAUACAUACCAAUUAUAGUUAGUUGAUGAUGUGGCAUGGAUGCAUAAAUGCAUCCUUGGUUUCAAAUUUAGAACCAAGGAUGCAUAUAUGCAUAUUUGCAUCCAAGUAUAGAACCCCAUUGGAGUUGAGAUUUUUAGCAUUUGAUUUCAAAUUAUAGAAAUGGCACCACUUAUAACAUUGCAUUGGACUUGCUCUUAC